rnacentral:hammerhead_ribozyme from 1 species
AUCCAACUGACGAGUCACAAAUGUGACGAAACGCGCAUCCUGGAC